GAUUCCACACAGGAAGGUCACACCAUCCCUCACCAUCAUCAGGGUGGAAACCUGAUAUAUUCUAAAGUGGAGGUGAAUACAGAAGAAGAGACUUAUUUGAGCGAUGAUCAGCAGUCUAUGGAAGAGGAUGGAAUAAUGAGGCUAAUUCUAGAGGACGGCAGUCUUACAGAGAUCAGCACAGUAGAUGGACGGGAGAUGAGGAAAACCUCAGAGGAUAGUCU